rnacentral:rRNA from 1 species
UACAGAGGUCUCAAGCGUUGUUCGGAUUCAUUGGGCGUAAAGGGUGUGUAGGUGGCGCCGUAAGUCGGAUGUGAAAUCCCGGGGCUUAACCCCGGAACUGCAUUCGAUACUGCCGUGCUUGAGGACUGGAGAGGAGACUGGAAUUUACGGUGUAGCGGUGAAAUGCGUAGAUAUCGUAAGGAAGACCAGUGGCGAAGGCGGGUCUCUGGACAGUUCCUGACGCUGAGGCACGAAGGCCAGGGGAGCAAACAGG